GCCAGACUCCUACGGGAGGCAGCAGUGGGGAAUAUUGCACAAUGGGGGAAACCCUGAUGCAGCGACGCCGCGUGAGUGAAGAGGUAUUUCGGUAUGUAAAGCUCUAUCAGCAGGGAAGAAAAUGACGGUACCUGAUUAAGAAGCCCCGGCUAACUACGUGCCAGCAGCCGCGGUAAUACGUAGGGGGCAAGCGUUAUCCGGAUUUACUGGGUGUAAAGGGAGCGUAGACGGUGAUGCAAGUCAGAAGUGAAAGCCCGGGGCUCAACUCCGGGACUGCUUUUGAAACUGUGUAACUGGAGUGCAGGAGAGGUAAGCGGAAUUCCUGGUGUAGCGGUGAAAUGCGUAGAUAUCAGGAGGAACACCAGUGGCGAAGGCGGCUUACUGGACUGUAACUGACGUUGAGGCUCGAAAGCGUGGGGAGCAAACAGGAUUAGAUACCCGUGUAUG
rnacentral:rRNA from 1 species